GACGAACGCUGGCGGCGUGCUUAACACAUGCAAGUCGAACGAAGUGGCGAACGGGAGAGUAACGCGUAAUCAACCUGCCCUUCAGAGGGGGACAACAGUUGGAAAAGACUGCUAAUACCGCAUACGGAAGGAGGGGAUUGCGUUUGAUUAGGUAGUUGGAGGGGUAACGGCCCACCAAGGCGAUGAUAAGUAGCCGUUCUGAUAGGGUGGACGUCCACAUUGGGACUGAAGAACGGCCCAGACUCCUACGGGAGGCAGCAGUGGGGAAUGUUCCGCAAUGGACGAAAGUCUGGCGGAGCAACGCCGCGUGAGUGAUGACGGGUUUCGGGUUGUUAAGCUCUGUUAAGCUGGACGCGUUACCGGAAUAGUAAGCCACGGCUAACUACGUGCCAGCCGCCGCGGUAAUAC
rnacentral:rRNA from 1 species